UACGUAGGUGGCAAGCGUUGUCCGGAUUUACUGGGCGUAAAGAGCGCGCAGGCGGUCGUUCAAGUCGCGUGUGAAAGCCCCCGGCUCAACUGGGGAGGGUCACGCGAUACUGAUCGACUCGAAGGCAGGAGAGGGUAGUGGAAUUCCCGGUGUAGUGGUGAAAUGCGUAGAUAUCGGGAGGAACACCAGUGGCGAAGGCGGCCUACUGGGUCAGUACUGACGCUGAGCCGCGAAAGCCAGGGGAGCGAACGGG
rnacentral:rRNA from 1 species